AGAGUUUGAUCAUGGCUCAGAUUGAACGCUGGCGGCAUGCUUUACACAUGCAAGUCGGACGGCAGCGGGGUAGUGCUUGCACUACUGCCGGCGAGUGGCGAACGGGUGAGUAACAUAUCGGAACGUACCGAGCAGUGGGGGAUAACUAAUCGAAAGAUUAGCUAAUACCGCAUAUAUUCUGAGGAAGAAAGCAGGGGACCUUCGGGCCUUGCGCUGUUUGAGCGGCCGAUAUCUGAUUAGCUGGUUGGUGGGGUAAAGGCCUACCAAGGCGACGAUCAGUAGCGGGUCUGAGAGGACGACCAGCCACACUGGGACUGAGACACGGCCCAGACUCCUACGGGAGGCAGCAGUGGGGAAUUUUGGACAAUGGGCGCAAGCCUGAUCCAGCAAUGCCGCGUGCAGGACGAAGGCCUUCGGGUUGUAAAGCUGCUUUUGUACAGGAACGAAAAGCUCUUCUCUAAUACAGGGGGGUAAUGACGGU
rnacentral:rRNA from 1 species